rnacentral:rRNA from 1 species
UCUAGGGAGGCAGCAGUGGGGAAUAUUGCACAAUGGGGGAAACCCUGAUGCAGCGACGCCGCGUGAGUGAAGAAGUAUUUCGGUAUGUAAAGCUCUAUCAGCAGGGAAGAACUAGCGACCUUUGGGUCGCCAGACGGUACCUGAUUAAGAAGCCCCGGCUAACUACGUGCCAGCAGCCGCGGUACUACGUAGGGGGAAAGCGUUAUCCGGAUUUAUUGGGUUUAAAGGGUGCGUAGGCGGAUUUUUAAGUCAGCGGUAAAAUGUCCGGGCUCAACCCGGGCCGGCCGAUGAAACUGGGGAUCUUGAGUGGGCGAGAAGUAUGCGGAAUGCGUGGUGUAGCGGUGAAAUGCAUAGAUAUCACGCAGAACUCCGAUUGCGAAGGCAGCAUACCGGCGCCCGACUGACGCUGAGGCACGAAAGCGUGGGGAUCGAACAGGAUUAGAUACCCGAGUAGUC